CGCGCUGAAGGACUGGUAACCGUCUGUUCUGGGAGCACGAAACUAGUAUGCUGACUGUGGAGCAGAAGGCAUGGAUUAAGCAGUCCUCCUUAGCGAGAUUGCUUUGCAAUAACUUGCCUGUUGAGAAUGUACCUACCAAUGCUUUCCUGCCUGUGUCAGAAACAAAUCCACUGCUGUCUUGCUCUGAAUUGCCAGCACUUACAAUCGAGGCCUGGAAGGACACAGCGCUAAUAGAAAAGAUGAAGCAACUGAAAGAAGGCAAAGCUGCAGAGGGAAGCGAGGCCAAGGAAAGUACUUCGAGGGGUUCGGAACUGUAGUCGAACUAGUUAUUUUAUGCGCUCUCAAAAAAAGACCAAACCAAGUGUAGGUGUCUUGUUCUUACUCCACAAAGGGAAUAGGCAUUUGAUGAAGUCACAAAAGGAUGAGAUUUUUGUUUGAAAUUUCUAAGAAGUUUGUAUGUUUGUGAAUAUUAUAAUAAUAAUUUUACAAUGUGCAGUAUAGAACAUGUGCUAAUACUACUGUGCAACAUGUAUUAAAACUGGGCCUUAUAGAACCUAGUGUUCUCUAUACCUCGUAUGUAAUACUUUGUCAUGUAAUAUAUUUUAUGUUCAUUUAUGUGUUGAAUAUUUGUUCAAACUUCAGCGAUAUUACAUGUUACAUCCUCAAAUAUCUUGAGUGACCGAUAUUUUUUACAUUAAUAUUAAAGUGUUAUGUUGUCCAUGUCAGUUAUAAUAAAUUGUUACUUUACGA